UUUUCCUGGUUACAACCGAAGCAUCUCCCAGCCAUCGCAGGAUCCUCUGGGCUGAACGCCGCAUGUGAUGUCCCUAUGAAAGGAGGUGGACACACGAAUUAUUCCUUUCUCGGUCUUAACUGAAGCAUCUCCCAGCCGUAAGCCCAUCACCCAUUAAAGACUACAUACCUGCUGUCGAUUGCUUACUCUGCUGUGCAGAUCGUAGGAUCCCCUGGGACGAAUGCUGCAUGUGAUGUCCCUAUGAAAAGAGAUUGCAGGAUCCUCUGGGCUGGACGCUGCAUGUGAUGUCCCUGUAAAAGGAGGUGGACACGAGAAUUAUUCCUUUUCCCGGUCUCGACCGAAACAUCCACGAGCUCUACUUACCCGGAUAUCCCCCCCUCAUUCCGGGACGGGUGACAGACUAUCCUGGCUCUUGCCGGCCCCGUACAGGCACGAACUGCCGACGACUCCACGCCUCCCCGGCGUCCGAGGUCUGGCUUCGUUCUGGUCGGGAGACACGGAAGGAACACUGAACUUUUUAAAUUGCUUUUUAACCA
ensembl:lncRNA